rnacentral:rRNA from 1 species
GCAAGUCGAGGGGUAACAGAGAGAAGCUUGCUUCUUUGCUGACGACCGGCGCACGGGUGCGUAACGCGUAUACAAUCUACCUUACACUGGGGGAUAGCCUUUAGAAAUGAAGAUUAAUACCCCAUAGUAUUAUUAAGUCUCCUGAUUUAAUAAUUAAGGUUACGGUGUAAGAUGAGUAUGCGUUCUAUUAGCUAGAUGGUGUGGUAACGGCACACCAUGGCAACGAUAGAUAGGGGCCCUGAGAGGGGGAUC